rnacentral:misc_RNA from 1 species
GAUGAAGAACGCAGCGAAAUGCGAUACGUAAUGUGAAUUGCAGAAUUCAGUGAAUCAUCGAGUCUUUGAACGCACAUUGCGCCCUCUGGUAUUCCGGAGGGCAUGCCUGUCCGAGCGUCAUUGCUGCCCUCAAGCACGGCUUGUGUGUUGGGCCCCGCCCCCCGAUCCCGGGGGGCGGGCCCGAAAGGCAGCGGCGGCACCGCGUCCGGUCCUCGAGCGUAUGGGGCUUUGUCACCCGCUCUGUAGGCCCGGCCGGCGCCUGCCGAUCAACCAAACUUUUUUCCAGGUUGACCUCGGAUCAGGUAGGGAUACCCGCUGAACUUAAGCAUAUCAUAAGCGGAGGA